rnacentral:rRNA from 1 species
CAGCAGUGGGGAAUUUUGGACAAUGGGCGCAAGCCUGAUCCAGCCAUGCCGCGUGCAGGAUGAAGGCCUUCGGGUUGUAAACUGCUUUUGUACGGAACGAAAAGACUCCUUCUAAUAAAGGGGGUCCAUGACGGUACCGUAAGAAUAAGCACCGGCUAACUACGUGCCAGCAGCCGCGGUAAUACGUAGGGUGCGAGCGUUAAUCGGAAUUACUGGGCGUAAAGCGUGCGCAGGCGGUUAUAUAAGACAGAUGUGAAAUCCCCGGGCUCAACCUGGGAACUGCAUUUGUGACUGUAUAGCUAGAGUACGGUAGAGGGGGAUGGAAUUCCGCGUGUAGCAGUGAAAUGCGUAGAUAUGCGGAGGAACACCGAUGGCGAAGGCAAUCCCCUGGACCUGUACUGACGCUCAUGCACGAAAGCGUGGGGAGCAAACAGGAUUAGAUACCCUGGUAGUCCACGCCCUAAACGAUGUCAACUGGUUGUUGGGUCUUCACUGACUCAGUAACGAAGCUAACGCGUGAAG